rfam:TPA: Bos taurus chromosome 9, whole genome shotgun sequence.
UCCCUGGUGGCUUAGACAGUAAAGAAUCUGCCUGUAAUGCAGGAGACCUGGGUUGGAUUCCUGGGUUGGGAA